rnacentral:rRNA from 1 species
GUGGGGAAUAUUGCACAAUGGGCGCAAGCCUGAUGCAGCCAUGCCGCGUGUAUGAAGAAGGCCUUCGGGUUGUAAAGUACUUUCAGCGGGGAGGAAGGCGAUAAGGUUAAUAACCUUGUCGAUUGACGUUACCCGCAGAAGAAGCACCGGCUAACUCCGUGCCAGCAGCCGCGGUAAUACGGAGGGUGCAAGCGUUAAUCGGAAUUACUGGGCGUAAAGCGCACGCAGGCGGUCUGUCAAGUCGGAUGUGAAAUCCCCGGGCUCAACCUGGGAACUGCAUUCGAAACUGGCAGGCUUGAGUCUUGUAGAGGGGGGUAGAAUUCCAGGUGUAGCGGUGAAAUGCGUAGAGAUCUGGAGGAAUACCGGUGGCGAAGGCGGCCCCCUGGACAAAGACUGACGCUCAGGUGCGAAAGCGUGGGGAGCAAACAGGAUUAGAUACCCCGGUAGUCC